UCAAAGUUCAUGAAGCUGAAGUCAAAGCCAGACGCUUCACAGUUAGUUCCGUCUUUUACCUCAGACCGGACUGAAGAUAUCUCCCAUUCAGAUCUCAGAGAGAGAGAAUCAACACGGUGUGGACAUGUCCAACAACCCUGACACCGAGGAUCUGAACGAGGAGGACAUCGAUGAAGAUGAAAUCCUUGCUAUGCUUUCGCCCGAGGAGCUUCAGGAGCUCCAGAGUGAGAUGGAUGUAAUUAUUGCCCCAGAUGAGAACGUACCAGUGGGACAGAGGCAGAAGGACCAGACGGAGAAGCCCCCAACGGGAACGUUUGAUCACAGGUCUCUAGUUGGUUAUCUCUACUGGGAGAAAGAAUCAAAACGAAUGCUUGAGGAAGAAAGAGUGCCGGCUACGCUUCUUCCUAGUGAGAAAAUCUUACUUGAGGAUGCCAAAAAGAAAGAAAUCGAAAAUUCAAAAGAUGCAGACCAAGAGGUGCGUGAAGUAACAGAGGAGGUGGCCGAAGAAGAUGCUGCCAACUGUACAGAAGGAGUUGAAAUCAUAGAAGAGACAAUUGAAGUUGAAGAUGUGAAGGUUGCAAAUGAAAAAGAGGUCGUUGUAAAAAAAGAGGAAGUGAAGCUGCCAGUGGAAAACGAACCCGAGCGUACAGAGGAACACGUAGAAGCCCCAAAUAGCACAGAAAGGGCAUCAGAAAGUCACAGAGCUGGAAACCAGCUUGUUUCAGACGCAAAAGAGGCAGAAACACACAAAGACAACACGAAUAAAGACGGUCCCCAAGCUGAAGCCACUUUAAAGGACCCUCUCCCAAAGAGAGAACAGAUUACAGUGAACAAAUUAAAAAUUCCAAAGUUGGCGUUGAAUAAUAUAAAAAUGACAUCAAGACCUUCAGGAAACGAGACAAACUUGGAGUCGACACUCGACAAGAUCCGUAGCAACAACCCGUCUGUGACGGAGGUGAACCUCAACAACAUAGAGAACAUUCCCAAAGAGAUGCUCCUGGACUAUGUCAACGCGCUGAAGAAGAACAAACACGUGAAAACAUUCAGCAUAGCAAACACCGGCGUGGACGAAAACAUCGCCUUCAGCCUGGCUAAUAUGCUAAAAGAGAAUCGGAGCAUCACCACUUUGAACGUUGAGUCCAACUUCAUCACUGGAAAAGGCAUCGUGGCCGUCAUCCGCUGCCUGCAGUUCAACGAGACGCUCACAGAGCUUCGUUUCCACAACCAGAGGCACAUGCUGGGUCACCACGCAGAGAUGGAGAUCUCCCGCCUGCUCAAGGCCAACAACACCCUCCUGAAGAUGGGAUACCACUUUGAGCAGCCAGGGCCCAGGAUGGUGGUGACCAACAUCUUAACCAGAAAUCUGGACCAUCAGAGGCAGCUGAGGAAGGAGGAGCAGAAGCAGCAGCAGCUAAAGGAGCAGAGGGAGCUGAUGCAGUCCUAUGAGAGCAGCCUUAAUCUGCCUCCAGGUUUACUCCAGAUGUUGGGAUACAUACCACCUCUGGAACUCCUACAAGAACAUGGACUGGUCCCGCCGGCGUCCGAGCUGAACGGCGAACCCCAAACAUCGCAUCAGAAAGAGCAUCCAGAGCCUCCGAAGGAUCCCAAACACAACAGCGUUCCCCAGCAACCCAGCGCUGAGUCAUCAAACCCGUUACGGGACAUCCAGUUAAAGAGGACUCCCAAGAAACGCAACCCGUUACUGGAUCCCGACCCAAGGGGUGACAGAAGGCCCGAACGGCCGAGCUUUCAGCUGAGGAAGACGCCAAAAGUCAAGGACGUCAGAGAGAGCGCGGAGGAGAAGGCCAGCCUGACUGACGUGAUAAAGACUCUGAAACCUGUCCCUCGUAGACGAGUCCCUCCAAAGGUGGAACUCACACCUCGAGACCAGCUUCUAGAUGAGAUCAAAAAGAGCAACGUGGCCUAUCUCAAGUCUGUACCACUCCCAAAAGUCCUGGAAUCAAGUGAAACAAGUCUUUUCUGACUCGCCUUCAGCCGCUUUCACCGUGUCACACGUUUACUUUACAGAUUGUUGAUCACUUCAUGUGUACAUUACUGAAAACGAUUGAACUUUCACCACACAGAAUAUGUUUGGCUGGCUUUUGUUUCACCGUCUGCUUUGGACUUCAAAAGAGAUCCUGAUUGAGCUCCUGUUCAAUGCCCCUGUUGCCAUGGUGACCAGUCGCAUGCCACAUACGUAAGUAUGUUUAUGUAUUUAGCAGACGCUUUUGUCCAAAGCAACUUACAGGUGAUAAUCAAGCCAGCAGGUUGCCCUUGAGGCUAGAUUACAGGAGUAAAUGAAAGUGGAAGCUCGGUCACAGGAGCCAAAACUCUGAGGCCUAGUCCACACGUAGCCGGGUUUUUAAAAAACGAAUACCCGCCCCUCCAAAAACUUGCAUCCACACCACCUCGUUUUAAAACAAAACUCUGUCCACACGUACCCGGAUAAAUACGUUGUUAAGGACAUGCCAGACCUGUAGGCGGCAGUACUUCCCCCGUUCUUAACCUCGUCCUUCGUCUGUGGUCUUCCACAAGGAGCAGUAAUUCCGCUUGCAAAAACAAACAAGCAGAAAGCGCUUGGACAAUUGAUAAAGCGAGCGCAGCUCUGAGGGCAUCCAUGCUGUCGGCUAGUGUAAACACAGGUCGCACACGUGAUGUCAGCAUUUUUUGUCGCGGAAAGAGACGUUGCGGACCUUAAAACUCCGGUUUUGUCUGUCCACACGCAAACACCCAAAACGGAGAAAACGCAGAUCUUCACUUUGGCCGGAGUUUUUAAAAAGAUCCGUUUUCGUGUGAAAAAACUCCGUUUUCGUGUGGAUGACAGGCCAAAACGUAGAAAAAUACCUACGUUUUGGCAGAUCCCCGGCUACGUGUGGACAGGGCCUGAGUUCUCUGGUUUCUGGCAGUGUCAUGACUCCCAUCUUUCUGCCUUCAUUCAGCACACCUGGUCCCCUCAUCAAGCUACAGCCAAGCCCUGUUUUCCCUAGCAACCUCAGUCGGCACCUCAUCAACUCCAUUCAUCUCACCUGUUCCUGUCAUCAGCUUCAUCCACUUCACCUGCUCCCCCUGCUAUGUAUUCACCUGUAAGCCACCAGUUCCCUGCCAGAUUAUUGAAAGCCCACGCAAGUAAAUCUUCCAGCCAUUCACCCUGCCUGAUCUCAGCCUUCGGACCUUGUUUUUGCUCCUGACCCCUGUCUUGAACUCUGCCUGCCACCACGACCUUCGCCUGUCUCCGACUCUGCCUCCAGCCUCGCCCACCUCUGGUAACUCUUUAGAAAAUAAACGACUUUAUCUACU